rnacentral:lncRNA from 1 species
AUUAGCAAUCGAAUUGCUAAUCGAUCCUCCUGCAACACUUGCACUAGGUUAAAUGUCAAUCGUAUUGAUCAUUUAACCCUAGAACGAUUCUUAAUCGUUGAUCAACCAUCUGAUCGGAUCAUGAACUCUAAUGUGUGUGACCUCAUAGAUCCGAAUCUAAUCGAUAGUAUAAAAAUAAAUUUUUGUAUCAAUCGAAGUGAUCAUCUAGCAAUUAUACCC